UAGGGAACUCGUCGCAAUGGGGGCAACCCUGACCGAGCAACGCCGCGUGAGUGAAGAAGGUUUUCGGAUCGUAAAGCUCUGUUGUAAGAGAAGAACGUGUGUGAGAGUGGAAAGUUCACACAGUGACGGUAACUUACCAGAAAGGGACGGCUAACUACGUG
rnacentral:rRNA from 1 species